rnacentral:rRNA from 1 species
AUUGAACGCUGGCGGCAGGCUUAACACAUGCAAGUCGAGCGCGCGGCGGACGGGUGAGUAAUGUAUGGGGACUGCCCGAUAGAGGGGGAUAACUAAUGGAAACGGUGGCUAAUACCGCAUACUAUCGGAUAACCCAUAUGGGAUUAGCUAGUAGGUGGGGUAAAGGCUCACCUAGGCGACGAACUCUAGCUGGUCUGAGAGGAUGAGCAGCCACACGGGGACUGAGACACGGCCCGGACGCCUACGGAGGCAGCAGUGGGGAAUAGUGCACAAUGGGCGCAAGCCUGAUGCAGCCAUGCCGCGUGUAUGAAGAAGGCCCUAGGGUUGUAAAGUACUUUCAGUCGGGAGGCGUUACCGACAGAAGAAGCACCGGCUAACUCCGUGCCAGCCGCCGCGGUAAUAC